UCCUCCCUCUGGCGGCGUGCUUAACACAUGCAAGUCGAACGGAAAGGCCCUGCUUUUGUGGGGUGCUCGAGUGGCGAACGGGUGAGUAACACGUGAGUAACCUGCCCUUGACUUUGGGAUAACUUCAGGAAACUGGGGCUAAUACCGGAUAGGAGCUCCUGCUGCAUGGUGGGGGUUGGAAAGUUUCGGCGGUUGGGGAUGGACUCGCGGCUUAUCAGCUUGUUGGUGGGGUAGUGGCUUACCAAGGCUUUGACGGGUAGCCGGCCUGAGAGGGUGACCGGCCACAUUGGGACUGAGAUACGGCCCAGACUCCUACGGGAGGCAGCAGUGGGGAAUAUUGCACAAUGGGCGGAAGCCUGAUGCAGCAACGCCGCGUGCGGGAUGACGGCCUUCGGGUUGUAAACCGCUUUCGCCUGUGACGAAGCGUGAGUGACGGUAAUGGGUAAAGAAGCACCGGCUAACUACGU
rnacentral:rRNA from 1 species